rnacentral:lncRNA from 1 species
CUUCCCAGCCUACAACGCACUUUCUCAGGGAUUCUCAAACUUCCUCCCACCUCACAUCCUUUUAAGAGUGUUGCUGGAGAUGGCCACUGGAGAGGCUGAGUCAAAUCAAUCUCCUCACCUGAGGACUUCCUAAGACCAGCGCACUGAAGGACCAGCAGCAACAACAACAAUAAUGCUAAUGCUCCCUUAUGGACAAGACUGCAAUUCUCUGCCUGCUGAAGCUCAGCUAUGACCACGUGACUUGCCUUGGCCAAUGAAAGAGGAAGAGUAUGUAACACUGCUGAAUGGAAGCAAGUGGCCCCUGCCCCUGCUGCAGAGAUUCUAGACAUGUGUGCCAUGCUGGAGCAAGGAGACAGGGAGUCCUGGAGAAAGGAGACAUGGAACAGAGCUCCCAGCCCAGUCAAUAUGUAACAUGAGUGAGAAAUAAAUAACACUUUGUUGCUAGAAGUUUUUUUUAAACUGAAGUAUAACUCAGCUUCCCCUGACCCAUGCAGAAAGUCAUCUAUCAAUGUUAAGUAUCACUAAAUUUAUUUUACAGAAGAAGAAUCUAAAGCUCAGAGUAGUGGUCUCAAUAUCACUCAGCAAUUAUGUGAUGGAAGCAUACUGAAGGCCCACGUUUUAAAGUGGACACCAAGGGGAAUAUAGCAUAAAUAGAAAUUUUCUAACUGCAGGGAAUUCUUGCUAUACAACUGCAAAGAAUAGGCCCCACUACUUCCUAGCUGUGCCUCAAUUUCCUGAUCAGUUAAAUGGGACUAAUAAAAGAGCAGCUAGUGGCUGGGUGCGGUGGCUCACGCCUGUAAUCCCAGCACUUUGGGAGGCCGAGGCGGGCAGAUCAAGAGGUCAGGAGAUCGAGACCACAGUGAAACCCCGUCUCUACUAAAAAUACAAAAAAUUAGCUGUGCGCAGUGGCGGGUGCCUGUAGUCCCAGCUACUCGGGAGGCUGAGGUAGGAGAAUGUCGUUAACUCGGAAGGCGGAGCUUGCAGUGAGCCGAGAUCGCGCCACUGCACUCCAGUCUGGGCGACAGAGGGAGACUCUGUCUCAAAAAAAACGACAACAACAAAAAAAAAAAAAAAAAAAAAAAAGAAAGAGUAGCUAGUGCAAGAGAUGGAGAAGGGAUUAAAUGAAAAUACAUGUAAAUUGCUCAUAAGAUUAUCUAGAAUAAACCGAACAUUCAAAAAUGUUAGUUACUAUUAUUAUUAACAAUUGCUAUUAUAAUCCUAAUAUCACCUGUUUCUCAUCAGUCGGUGGAUACAAGCAAUUACAUUUACAUAAAUAUGUAAAGCAAUAAAGCCAAACCAGAG